GAUGAACGCUGGCGGCGUGCUUAACACAUGCAAGUCGAGCGAAGCACUUAAGAAUGAUUCUUCGGAUGAAGACUUUUGUGACUGAGCGGCGGACGGGUGAGUAACGCGUGGGUAACCUGCCUCAUACAGGGGGAUAACAGUUAGAAAUGGCUGCUAAUACCGCAUAAGACCACAGUACUGCAUGGUACAGUGGUAAAAACUCCGGUGGUAUGAGAUGGACCCGCGUCUGAUUAGGUAGUUGGUGAGGUAACGGCCCACCAAGCCGACGAUCAGUAGCCGACCUGAGAGGGUGACCGGCCACAUUGGGACUGAGACACGGCCCAGACUCCUACGGGAGGCAGCAGUGGGGAAUAUUGCACAAUGGGCGAAAGCCUGAUGCAGCGACGCCGCGUGAAGGAUGAAGUAUUUCGGUAUGUAAACUUCUAUCAGCAGGGAAGAAAAUGACGG
rnacentral:rRNA from 1 species